GAGCCCGUAGCUUAGCCUGGUGGAGCACCCGACUGAUACUCGGGCGGCCGCGUGUUCAAAUCACGCCGGGCUCA
rnacentral:tRNA from 1 species